UACGGGGGGAGCAAGCGUUGUUCGGAUUUACUGGGCGUAAAGGGCGUGUAGGCGGCCACCGCAAGUCGACUGUGAAAUCUCCGGGCUUAACUCGGAAAGGUCAGCCGAUACUGCGGGGCUAGAGUGCAGAAGGGGCAACUGGAAUUCUCGGUGUAGCGGUGAAAUGCGUAGAUAUCGAGAGGAACACCUGCGGCGAAGGCGGGUUGCUGGGCUGACACUGACGCUGAUGCGCGAAAGCUAGGGGAGCGAACGGG
rnacentral:rRNA from 1 species